rnacentral:rRNA from 1 species
UACGUAGGGUCCGAGCGUUGUCCGGAAUUAUUGGGCGUAAAGGGCUCGUAGGCGGUUCGUCACGUCGGGAGUGAAAACUCGGGGCUCAACCCCGAGCCUGCAGUCGAUACGGGCAGACUAGAGUGCGGUAGGGGAGACUGGAAUUCCUGGUGUAGCGGUGAAAUGCGCAGAUAUCAGGAGGAACACCGGUGGCGAAGGCGGGUCUCUGGGCAGUAACUGACGCUGAGGAGCGAAAGCGUGGGGAGCGAACAGG